UACGUAGGCAGCAAGCGUUGUUCGGAAUCACUGGGCGUAAAGGGCGCGUAGGCGGCUUUGUAAGUCGGGGGUGAAAGCCUGUGGCUCAACCACAGAAUUGCCUUCGAUACUGCAUGGCUUGAGACCGGAAGAGGUAAGUGGAACUGCGAGUGUAGAGGUGAAAUUCGUAGAUAUUCGCAAGAACACCAGUGGCGAAGGCGGCUUACUGGUCCGGUUCUGACGCUGAGGCGCGAAAGCGUGGGGAGCGAUCCGG
rnacentral:rRNA from 1 species